GGCGUUGUGGCUUAGGUGGUUAAAGCGCCUGUUUCGUAAACAGGAGAUCCUGGGUUCAAAUCCCAGCAGUGCGUUCU